rnacentral:rRNA from 1 species
UAUGGUGGUAUUGCCAAGGGUGUUCACCUCUUCCCAUUCCGAACAGAGAAGUUAAGCCCCUUAUGGCCGAUGGUACUGGUUAACUCCGGGAGAGUAGGUAGCCGCCAUAUUUAUUGAAGCCCUUCGACGAAAGUCGAGGGGCUUUUUUUUGUGCCU